GUUUUCAUGGCGUAGUUGGUUAUCGCAUCCGUCUAACACGCUUGUGUGCACGGAAGGUCCUCAGUUCGAGCCUGGGUGAAAACA